AAGUUUUCCGGUGACUGACUCUCUCUCUCUCUCUCUCCGUAUGUAUCUGCUUCUACAUGUUGAUUUAGUGUUUUUCGAUCAGUAAGUAUAUACUUUUUCUGGGUUCGAAUUUUGAUUGGAUUCGAUCUGGAUUGGUGUGAUCUCUUAGGUCUUCUGGAUUUUGAUUGUUCUGUAAUUACAUGGAAUUGAAUUGUGAAGUGAUGAUUAGAGAUUGGAUUAGUUGAAAUUAGUCUCAAGCUGCUAUUUUAAGUUCAUGUCUAAUUCUCUCAGUAUGAUUCAGAUUUGGUGUUCUUAUCUAUUUUUGACUGGAGAGAAAUUGAAUACUGAAUCUUGUAUCAUAUUCAAGAUUUGUUUGAUCCUGCUAUUAUUAUAAGCAACAACCUUUUAUAAGAAAUCAUUCGGUCAAGUGUUCGCAAUCAAGGAAGAAUUGUUUUCGGCUUAGUUUGUUUCUUGGUGAGUGAGAGUGAAUAUGUUCUGAAUCAUAUAUUUAUUUGUCGUGAUGCCUGGUGAAGCUGUUGAGCUAUGAGUCCAAAAGUCUUAUUGUUGUGUUUAUCGAAGUUAAGAGACUCAUUGGGAAUUUUGCAGGGUUGGGAAGACUUCUUUGAUGAAUCAGUAUCCUAAAUUUUCUGUGAAUGGAGUAAAGAGGAAGUUAUUGCAAUGUUUUUUUUUUUUAUAAUAUAUAUGAAUAGAUUCUCUUGUCUCUGUUUUAUGACUAACAACAAUCUGUCCUCUUUCGAGUUAGAUGAGUUUGUGUUUCUGUUUCACUUUAACACCAUGCCUUUAGAUAUGUGAAUAAGAAGUUCAGCAACCAGUAUAAGGCAACCAUUGGGGCUGAUUUCUUGACUAAGGAAGUGCAAUUUGAAGACCGGCUUUUCACUUUACAGGUUUGUUGUAACAGCACAGUUUAUCAGUGAAGUAAUUUUAUUUUGUCUUGUUGUAGAUUUUGCUUGCUUAGUGCAUUGGUAUGAGUUUGAAUCCUUAGUGGCAGAGUUGAUAUUGGAAAAACGGUUGAAUAGUUUAUGAGCUUCAGGCUGAUCUCUGCUUAACUUUUGAAUUAUUAACUUCUCUGCAGUCUUAUCUUAUACUAAUGCAAACUUAAGUUCUGUCGGAUUGUUGUGCGCCGUUCCAAUAUUGAAUUGGCUCAUACUUGUUUCUGAUGUGAUUCUUACGGGGUUUGCUUUGGCAUGAUCAAAGUACGAAAAGGGUUCACAGACUCUGUCCUGGAUUAAGAAUUUAUCCCAAGUACUAUAUGGAAUGCCCUCUUUACUUGACUAUAGGAGCUAAGUUCUUGCUUUGUUUGUUACAGAUCUGGGACACAGCUGGUCAGGAAAGGUUUCAGAGUCUUGGUGUGGCAUUUUAUCGUGGUGCUGAUUGCUGUGUUCUUGUAUAUGAUGUCAACUCCGCCAAAUCAUUCGAGGAUCUCAACAACUGGAGGGAAGAGUUUCUGAUCCAGGUAUAAUUAUAGAUUUAUAUUUAUACUCUCUCUUCUCAGUAGAUUCAAUAAUAGGACUUUACUUCAAUGCCGGUAAUUGAACCCGUGACCUCCAAGGUCCCUACAUUAUCGGUAACCAGGGGCUUAACCACUAGGCCAACUCAUCGUUGGUUCUUCUUUUUUCUUUACUUUGUCUAGCUUUAAGGAUGACUUAUUUUAUAAUUGAUCCAACGUAGAUUUGAAGACGACAACGGCCUAUGGAUAUAACACAUAUUUUAUGAAUGCAUAAUGUUAUUCAUUAUAUUUGGAGAUGGUGCAUAUAUUAUUUUUUCAAAAAGUUAGUGAAUUUGAUAUUCAUCAAAUUGUAUUCAAAGCAUUAGAUUUUAUUGUAUAUGUUAAUAGCUAAUGAACAAAUCAUUUGAGAAAAUCCUUAUAUAAUUAACAGCUAUCUAUUGAAUAAUUUGUUUUACUUUCUAUUAAUUUUUCAUUUAUAUAGAGAUGAAAAUAAAUUUUUUUAAAAAGAAGUUAUCUGAAAAACAAAAACAAAAAAAUCUCGUUGAGAUGAGAUUUACUCAUAUUGAUCAUCUUUUUUCAUAGGGACAUAAUUAUUUAUUAUUAUUAUUUUUGCUAAAAUAAUUAAUUGAUUUUACAAAAUAAUACUAUAAGAAACAAGACACGAAAGGCACCGUAUAUUUAUUUAUAUAUAUUAUCAAAACAAAAUGUGAAGCAAGUCUAAUUUUCACCACACAAAGACUCACUCACUCACAUUAAUGGUAAAAACGAAAAAUCCCUUAUAGCUAGGGUUAACAUUUCUGCACUAAACAGAACAUAUAUAGUAUACGUGUAUAACACAACAACUCAAGCAACUCAAGGAGUAACAUAUACGUGCACGUAUAAAUCGAUCCAUACAUAAACACAAAGUCAUAUAUAUAAGAGGCUUCGUUAAUAUUAUUCAUUAGGAUUGUGGUAGAUGAGGACAACAGAUUUGGUGUCGAAAUUCUGGAUGAAUCUCUCUUGGCCGGUCCUAAACGGAUUGUUGAGAAGCUCUUUGAUUGGUUCAGGCAACGGUUCAUUCUUCAUCAUCUUCUUCCAAUAUUCUUCUGCAACUCCUCCUGUUCUUCCUUCACUCAGAUUCACAAACUGUACCAAGAAAUAUAUACAACAUUCAGAUAUAUGUAUCUAUAUUCAGAUCUUAAUUAGGGUUUUAAUAUGAUUAAAGAAGAAGCUUUUACCAGAAGAAAGCUGAAAAGGACGAUGAAGACGACCAAGUAACGUUGUUGCUUCAUGUCUGCUUUAAGCUAUUGUUUUGUUGUUUUGAGAUUUUUCUCGAUCUAUGUUAAAUCUUUAGGUGUUUAAAGUUUAUAUAUAUAGAGGGACCCGUUUAAAGGAACUUGUUUUCUUUGAUAAUUCCCUCUCUUCUUGCAUUUAAUAAUCAUUUAAUAUUACAUUGUAAAGUCAACUUUGUGUUGUGCAUAUGUAUAUAAUGAUGAUAUGCGUAACCUAAUUUAUUUAUUUUUCUUGUCUAAAUCUUCAGAGUGGUGGGCCUCUUAAAUAAGGAUUUUUGUCUAUUCUUUCUUAUCUGGAGCAAUCAACUAUUACAGCUCAGAUAGCAACACCAACAUUUUUUUAAUAUGUAUUAAGAAUAUAUUACUUAUAUAAUUGCAUAGAACAAAGAAGAAUUCUGUAUGUUAAUGUAAAAGUAGAUAAUUCUAUAACAAAGAUUAUACGAUUCAAUAAAGUAUAGGGACAAAACAUAUUAAACGUGGCAACUAGAAUUUCAUUAAAAUUGUUUUCAAAACGAUCUUUUUAUCAAAAAAAAAUAAAAAACAAUAUUCCCGCGCAAGGGGUGUAGUAAAAUGACAAGUGAUCGAACUCCAUUGACAGAAAAUAAAAUCUAAAAAAAUUUAUAGAUUUUUCACUUUUAUAUAUUCAAUACAUAGGAUAUAUAGUUAAGAUUGUUGAUUAGUUAACAACUUAACAUAUAAAAAACAUAUAAAAAAAAAAAAACAUAGAUAACAUCAAAAGUCGUAAAUACAUAGAAAAAAGUUUUGGUUUUCCUUUUAAAUUUGGGGUCCACUUGAAUUAAUUAUUCUGAGUUACUUUAAUUUAUGAAAAAGACAGGCCAGACGUAUUGUUUGAUAACAAGAUGAGAUUAUGGCCUUAAAUGGUAACAUAACAAAAACAUUCAGCUAGAUUCAGCAAUUUCGCAGUCACCAUUUACAUAAAACUAAAUUCAGCUGAAUUCAGUAUUUCAGCCAGAUUCAACUGUUUUUUCAGCACCAACAGAUACGUAGAUACGUUUAUAUCUGGUAAAAAUUUAGAUAAUAACGAGCACAUAAGUCGAAUUAAAAUAUUUUGGAUAUCAAAAAUUACACAUCAAAUUUAUAUUUUUAAAAUAAGUCAGAUUAUACACAUACGAUAUAUAAAUAAUUCAGAUACAUAAUAUAUCACUACCACAAUAUACAAGAGACGAUAUCAUAUUCGGAUAACUAUAGACAUUUUUGGAUAAUUUUAAUAAUUUUUAGAUAUUGUAAAAUUUCGCAAAAACAACAUAAAAUAAACAAUUAGAUAAUCUAUAUUAUAUUACCAUAUUAAUUUCUUAAAUUAAAUUAUCAAUAUUACUUUACAAAGCUUUUCAUUGAUUAUCUACAUAUUUCAUAGUUUAAAAAUUAAAUAUGGAAGAAUAACUCAAUUUUAGUAACCAAUAUAUUAUUUAUAUUAGUAUUUAUUUUAGAUAAUUUAGUAUUUAUUAAUUAGUAUAACAAUUAAUUAGAUCAUUAGAUAAUUUUAUCUAUUUUAUUUUGAUAUUUUCUUAAUUAUUUUAUUAAUAUUUAUAAUUAUUUGACGAUAUUUUUCAGUUAAAUUCUUUAUUAUAUUGAUAGAUUCUAUCAAAAGUCACAAAAACAUUAAGCUAGAUUCAGCGGUUACCAUUUGAAAAUAUAAAAAUUCAGCUAGAUUCAGCUAAAAAUCACUAAAAAUUCAGCCAGAUUCAGCAAUUCAGCUAGAUUUCUCGGUUACCAUUUAGACCCUAUAAAAGCUGGAUUUAAUCAAAAAGAAAAUAUUAUAAAAGUGGGAACAAGUGAAGCGGGUCAACUUUCAAUGUCUGUAGGCCUGGACACGAAGCGGAUAUCCGGAAAAUUUGGGAUAUUUAUUAUUCGAUUCGUUUCAACCGAAUACUUGAUUUUGUGAUUUGCUUUGAUCCGAAAAUUUCUGGAUAUUCGGAAUAUCGAAUAUCCGGAUUUUUUUGUGAUAUUUGCGGAUAUCCGGUUCGAUACUUCUGCACCUAUUAAAACUCUAAAAAGCUAAGCGCUCGCGUGUAAAAACUACAAAAAAAAAGAUAAAAUUUGACAAAAGGAAAUCGUUGCAGGAUUCCAACUUCUUAUUUUUAAAGGAUAUUGAUUUUUUUUUUAAUAAAUUCCACUUCACUAAUAAAAACUAUUAAAUUGUGUCACAAACACAGAUCCGAAGGAUAAAAAUUUGAGUUCACAACUUUACAAAUACAAGUAAAAAAAAUAUAUUAUGAUAUGCAUAUGAAUAUAUAUAUAUAUAUAUAUAUAUAUAUAUAUAUAUAUUUUAUAUAUAUAUCGAAAAAUACGGAUCGAAGCGGAUAUCCGACUUUUAAAAAAAAUAUAUUUGUUAUUUGCUCCGGUUUUUUUUUUUUUGAAUAACCGCGGGUCUCCCAAAGGCUUCCUAGGCCCAAAGACUAAUCCCACGAAGCUGGCAAUUCCCCUAUGUAAACCUGCCAGUGGCCGUGCCUCGAACCCUGGUGGCAGAAGUCACAGCUGUGACCUCUUUACCACUAGGCCACAAGGCCCGGUUACGCUCCGGUUUUUACGAAUACUAAGUUUUCCUAUUUGCUUUACUCCAAAAUUUUACGAAUAUUCGGAUUUUUCGAAUCGAAUCGAAACGAAUAUUGAGUCUAAGCGGAUCUAACGAAUAUUUUGCCCGGGCCUAGUGCACAUUAGCUCUACGCGACACAUAACCCAAAAGUAUUUUUAGAACAUUGACUAAUUUAAUAAUGUCUUAUGAUUUCAUUAUUAUUAGUUGGCUACUUCGUCGAAUUACUUAUUAGUUGGGAUUCGAAUAAUAUAGCUGGCGAUUUUUUACACCGAUUGAUAUGCCUAAGCCUGGACAAAAAUCGGAUCCGAAAUCCGAACCGAUUCCCAGACCGAAAAAACUGGUUCGAAGUGAGUACGGGUAAGAGGAAAUUAUUUCAUUGGGUACAGUUUUUGAAAACCCGUGGAUAUCGGGUCGGUCCGGGUAAUAUCCGUUACUCAAAUAGGGUACCCGAAUACUCGAACAUAUAAUUAAAUAUCAAAAGAUUAAUUAUAUAUAACUAGAUACGGAUCCGUGCGUUGCACGGAUUACCGAUCGAAAUUGUCAUUUUUGUAAGCUUAACUAAAAUUAUAUAAAAAUAUGUUUUAAUUUAGAAAAUAUAGUAUUUUAAUUAUUUUUUAAAUAUAGAUUAAUUAUGCAUAAUGUGUAAUAUAAAAUACUAUUUGUAGUUUUGUUUUUUAUAUGUUACAGUAUGAUAUUUAAUAAAUGUUCAUAUGUGUAUUAUUGAAUUUUAAUAAAUUAUCCAAAUCAAUCGGAAGAGUGUAUAACACUUUCUAAUUUCAAUGUGGGCAAGAUGUAAACAAAAUUGUGACAAUAUGAGACCGUCUAUAUCCACAUCAUGUAACUUUACUUGAUAAUAUGAGAAAUCCUCAAAAAAAAAAUACAAAUUCAUAACGAAUUAGGGAAUAUGCACUAAAUAACCUAUGACUAAAAAAAAUUAAGAAAAUAAUAUUAACUAAACAAUGUCUAUUUGCUAUAUGGUUUUGUCAAAUUUUGGCUCAUAUUACUCAUGAGUUCUUCGUUGUCACGUUUUUAUUUUUUCUCGCCGGCGAGAAGUCUCAAAUCUCUCUUUUUAUCUCAUUAGAUUUCUCUUAUUUUUGCUCGAUCUCCUCUUUCUUUUUCUUUCUCUCCCUCUUAUUGGAUUUCUUCACCACCAUAUUUUUUUUUCUUAUUCCAUAUCAUUAUUUCUCUCCUUCGUCGGGCAUCACCACCGAGUCUCACUACUCCGACCCACCACGCCGCCACCACAACUGAAUCUCACAACUAUCACAAUCAUCAUCACCAUCAAUGAUCUCGCUAAUUCCGACCCACCACCUUCAUCAAUAUUUACCGCCACCACCACCAAACUUGAACCACCGUCAUCAACACCAACACCACCGAUACCGCAUCUUCACCUCUUUCCCCAACUGCUCUUUAUUUCACCACCUUAUCUCCUCCGACAUCGGGUCGAGCUUCUUCGACAACAACUAUAUUUUACGUCCAUCGCCGUUCAUAUUUCUUAAUUUUCCUUCAUCGCCAUAUAUUCUUAAUAUGUCUAUCUAUCUAUUUGUUUAUCUAUAGAGGUGAGUAUUUAGAAUCAUUUUUCUUCUAGGAUUAAUAAUUGAUUAUAAAUUUCUUUAAUUAUCAUAUUGUACAAUAAGAUUGUAUAACUUCAUAAAUCUUGUUUUUAAUUUUAAGAAAAAAGUAAUCGUUUUCUUUUCUAAUUAGUAGAAUUAGAAUUAGUAAAUAAUUUUUUAAUUUCUAUUUUUAUUUAAUAAGAUACAUAUAGUUUCUUUAUAAUUAUCUUUUUAAUUUUUUAAAAUUAUUUUUAUAAGAUAUAUAUGUAUAGUUGACUUAUAAUUUUUUUUCUUAAAUUUCUAUUUUUAUUUCAUAAGAUACAUCUAGUUUCCUUAUAUUUAUCUUCUUUUGAUUUUAAAAUUGUUUUAUAUAAGAUAUAUACGUAUAACUUCCUUAUAAAAUUUUUUCUAAACAAACCUUUUUUAUUUUUGGUUUUACACGCUGCUAAAUUUGACAUGUGGGUAUAGUUUUUUCAUAUUUUUUUAAAAAUAAAUAAAAAGAAAUUUUUUUUAACACGUGUUAAAAUCUGAGAUCAAUAAAUUUGACAUGUGGCACGAUCUUAUGAGUUAUUAACUUUGAAAACCAUACUUUAUAUAAUAAGAUUUUAAUAUAAUUUAAUUAUCUAGAAUUACAAUUAUAAAUCUAAAUAUGUCAAUUAACUUUAGAUUUAAAUACCCAAAACAACCAAACUAUCCAAAAAUUAUUUGUUUUUUUUUUUUUUUUUUUUUUUUGCUGCAACAGAGAUUUCAUUCAUGUAUUUAAAUCUUUACAAAGAAGUUUUUGAAGCCCCAGUGGCUGAUUAUUCGAACUUGAGUAAAACACAUCAUUAUUACAACCGUAAGAUGCUAAAAAAUGGGCUGCAGUGAUACAUUGACGCCCUACGAAUGUGAAAUUAACAGUAGAAAAUUUUGAAGUCCAGAAAUCUAUGUCAUGAAGCGGGUUGAACAGUUCGUGAUGCUGAGAAAGACCAUUCAAGGCUUUAAUAAGUAACUCGCAGUCGCCUUCAAAGAUUAUGUUCCGAUAGCCCCUUAUCCAUGUUUGUUGAAUAGCCACAAGCAGAGCCUUUGUUUCCGCUUCUAAAGGUGUGGACACGUGAGGUAGAAUUGAUGAUCCACAUGCUUUAGCUCUCCCAUAAUGGUCGCGAAUUAUCCAACCUCCAGUGCCCUGAAAGGUUCGAACGUCAAAGCCUGCAUCAAAGUUGCAUUUAACAAAAGAAAAAGGUGGUGUUGUCCAUGUAGAAGUAGCAGAUGUAGUGUGGCUUGGUUUGGGUAUAUUGAUGCGCCAAUUUGCAACAUUGUUAAUCCAAUCUUUGACUUUAGCUUGAACUUGUAUAACAACUCUCGAAGGACUUUCUCUGAAUUUAUUGAAGACUAAAUUGUUCCUUUCUUUCCAUAUUCUCCAUAAAAGCCAAAAGGGAUCAAGUUUUUGUUGUUCUGUAAGAUUUGAAUUAUGGUAGGAAUCCACAAUUAAAGAAAUAUUUUCUUCAAUGUCAUCCGUAAACUGACGUGACGUUAACACGCGUGUGUUUGAUAAACGCCAAUUAAUGUUUGCAUAGGGACAUUUGAAGAGUACAUGGCAAAUAGAUUCUUCUUCCUUAUGACAACGUGGGCAGUAAGGAUCAAUGUUCAUACCUCGUUUCACAAGUCUGGAACAAGUCGGUAAUGCUUUUGAAACUAUUCUCCAGAGCAUAUGCUUGAUCUUUGGAAUGAUAGCGAUUUUCUAGAUUUUGUUUUUGAGAGCAACAGAACCAUGAGGAAUGGCCGGUUUGUUGUGAUUAUCAUUUGGAUCGUGUGUGAUUAGCCAAUAUCCAGAGCGGACAGUGUAGUUUCCAUCUGUGUUGUAGUUCUAGAUCAAUCUAUCUGGCAGUUCAUAUCUCGAUAAGUGUAUUUUUUAAGAUAAUUUUGGACCAUUGGAUCGAUGGUUGCCAAAAUUUUCUCGCUGUUCCAGUAACGAUAUAAACCUACACUGGAUAUUAAUGUUUGAAUUGUAACAUUGACAUCAGGAACUGUUGUUUGAAGAGGUCGUGGUGGAUGAGCUUCAAUAACAUUAUCUUUUCCGAUUCUAAUAGUCCUCCCAUCACCUACAAGGUAUCGCGAUCCUUUUUUUAAGACUUCAAUUCCUUCCAGUAAAGAUGACCAACCAUACGAUUGGUAAGCCCUAGCUUUUGCGUCAAGGAUGGAUUCAUCUUUAAAGUAUCGUGCCUUCAUUAUACGAGCAAACCGAGAAUUAGGGAACUGUAUUAUUCGCCAAGCUUGUUUGGCUAAGAGCACAUCAUUAAAUUUUGCAAGAUCUCUGAAUCCUAGUCCGCCUUCCUUUUUUUUAGUAUUGAAGUCUUUUCCAAGCAAUGCAAGGUAUCCCUCUCUUCUUCGCAUUCUUCUCCCACCAAUAAUUUAUAAGGAUGCUUUCUAUUUCCGAAACGAUACUUCUCGGCAAUUUGAAACAUGACAUGGUAUAAACCGGCAUUGCCAUGGCAAUGGAUUUAAGCAUGAUUUCCUUUCCCGCUGGCGAGAGGUAUUUCGCACUCCAACUGGCCGUUCUUUUUUUAACUCAUUCAAUGAUGUAAUCAAACAUUUCUCUUUUUUUUUUCCUUCCAAACUGUUCUGGGAGUCCUAGGUAUUUCCCUCAUCCUCCGUGAUUAUUAAUUCCCAAAAUCUUCUUUAAUCUGUUUUGAGUGUUGCCAGGACCCUUGAGCCAAAAGUUAUCAUCGAUUUUGUCAUAUUGAUCUUCUGGCCCGAGUAAUAUUCAUAGAUAUCAAAGGCGUCCUUUAAGGCUUGGCAAUUACGAACAUUUGCUUGGCAGAAAAACAGAGAGUCAUCCGCAAAUUGUAAGUGUGUAAUGGCUAGGACGUUCAAACCAAUACGAAUUCCCCUAAUAUCUCCUUCCGAAGCUCUUGUUUUGAUUAAAUGACUAAGAAUGUCUGCGCAAAGGAUAAAUAAGUAUGGUGAGAGUGGACCACCUUGACGGAUUCCACGUUUCGGGUUGAUUGUUCCAUGAGGGAUACCAUUGAUCAAAACAGAGUAGUGAAAAGAUUUGACGGUGCCCCUAAUCCAAUUGAUCCACUUAUCGCUAAAAUCAAAUAAGCGCAUUGUAGUCUCCAGAAAGUUCCAUUCGACUCUAUCGUAAGCUUUGCUUACAUCCGUUUUUAUUGCCAUAUAGGAUUGAGAGACACACUUCCUCACUUUUAAUGAAUGCAUCAGUUCGUGAGCUAUCAUCACGUUAUCGUUGAUAAGUCUACCCGAUAUAAAUGCAGCCUGUGAGUCGGAGACAAUGACAUCAAGAUGAGUUUUUAGUCGUGCGACUAAACAUUUUGAGAUGAUCUUGUAAAGAACAUUGCAGAGCGCUAUUAGUCGAUAGUCUGAUAGAGUUUCUGGAUUGGUUAUUUUGGAAAUCAUGCAGAUAUUCAUAUGAUUCACAUUUGGAUUCAUGUAUGAUGUCGCAAUAUAACUUUUAACCUCUUUGAUAACAUCGGUGCCUACUAUGUCCCAGCUUGUUUUGUAAAAUCUGGCCGUGAGUCCAUCCGGACCGGGAGCCUUGUCAUCUCCAAUGAGACAGAUGGCUUCGUAAAUCUCCUUAUCGCUGAAGUCUUUACAAAGCUCUGCAUUGAUUUCAUGGGUCACCGUUGGUUUAAAGCCUGAGAAAUCUAUAGGAGAAACCGGUCUACCAUUGCUUGAAUAGACGCUCGUGAAGUAGUGUUGAGCAUGUCUACUAAUUUCUUUGUCUCCUAUGUAGACGUUUCCCUCGUUAUCUUUGAUAGUAGUGAUUCUAUUUUUUGAGAAUCUUGUUUUUGCGCAGGCAUGUAAGAAUUCAGUGUUACGAUCACCCUCUAACAUCCAUUGAUUACGGCUUUUUUGUUGCCAAUAUUUUUCUUCAUCAUUGUAAGCCCGAGUUAGUUCAUUUUGAAUCUAAGGGAUGAGCAUUCUCUCUGAUCUAAUCAAGCUUGACAUUGCAUUAUUCAGAGCAGCUUGUAAAUGUUUGAUUCUUUUUUCUGAGUUGAGGCUGAAUUGAUGUUUUAAUCUCGCUAUGACCUGUCUGCAAUUCCUGACCUGAUCCAUAAUAGAAUGACCCUGUUUCGAUUUUUCUUUAUUCCAUCCUCUAUGAACUGCAUUCUUAAAGUCUGGAAUCUCAACAAGUCUCUUGUCAAAGAGAAAAGGCUUCAUUUUUGGUGUUUCAGAUUUUUCCAUGGUCAAUAAUAUUGGCUUAUGGUCCGUGUUGAUAAUAGAAGAUUAAGUCGGAAAUGUGUUGAGAACCAUGGUGAGAGAGAAAGAGAUGAACAUGAUAUUGAUUAAAGAUGUGAUACAAAAUAUGGAGGCACGCUUUGGUUUUAUAGAGAACAAACUUUAGGUCUAAGGGGUAUGCACAAAGACAAUCGCAUCCUCACUUAGCCUUGCUUUACCAAAGCGUGUAACAGCUCACACAUAAGGACAAACCCGUACACGCGCUAGAGCUCUUGGUUUAGAUAAGCUCGACGCCUAAAGUGUCUCGCGUGUCCGUACGGUCAAACUAGUCGUUACUCCUCUUUCUCUUUUAUUCAAACUGAAGCUUGCGCCCUAAGUAACUUGUGUUUAAUAUCUAAUAUUGAUUUAGUUAGUAUUAAACACCUUCUUGAUUAACACUCCCCCUCAAGUUUAUACUACAACGGAAUUAUGUAUAAACUUGGCCACUUGUGUGAAUAACCUCAUUAAAAACCUUAACAAAGAAAACCACGUGGGACAAAACUUUGUUAAGGGAAAAAGAGUGUUAUCCCUACAAGGUUGGGAAGUCUUUCUCAAGGAUUUGUGAGGUCUACAAGACCAAGUUUACCAUGGAUAAAUUUGCAAACUUGGUUACUUGCUGCCUUGGUGAAGAUGUUGGCCAAUUGGUCCGAACUCUGAGUGUAACAAGGGAGAAUUGUACCAUCUUCUACCUUCUCUCUUGUCUUGUGGCAGUCGAUCUCUAUGUGUUUGGUCCUCUCAUGAAACACUGAGUUGGUAGCAAUAUGGAUAGCCGCUUGAUUAUCACAAUGAAAUGUGAUAGGUGUCUUCUGCUCGAUCCCAAAGUCCUUCAGCAAAGCUUUUAACCAAGUUAACUCGUUUGUGAGUUUCUUCAUGGCCCUAUACUCUGAUUCUGCACUUGAACAAGACACCACCUUCUGUUUCUUGGACUUCCAAGUUACAAGAUUCCCACCAAUGAAUGUACAAAAGCUGGUUGUUGAUUGUCUUGUGUUGCGGUCUCCAUCAUAAUCUGCAUCACAAUAUCCAACAAUCUCUGUGCUUGAGUUUCUUCCCAUCCAUAUACCUUUGCCGGGACUCCCUUUGAUAUAUCUCAGAAUUCUUUCCACCAAACUCCAAUGAUAAACCGUAGGAGCUUGCAUGUGUUGAGCCACCUGAUUCAUAGCAAAAGAAAGGCCAGGUCGAGUGUAGGUUAAGUAUAUAAGCUUACCUACAAGCCUUCUGUAUUUUUCUGGGCAAUGGUAUGGAGUGUCAUCUUUCUCCCCCUUUCGAUUGACCGUAUAGCCUUGCUCCAAUGGUGUUUCAACCGGUUUAGCUCCAAGUUUUCCUGUGAGUUUUAAGAGAUCGAGGGCAUACUUCCUUUGUGAGAGAAACAAACCCUCCUUUGAUCUACACACCUCGAUCCCUAGAAAAUACUUCAAAACAUCCAAAUCUUUAAUAUCAAAAGAAGAGUGUAAAGCAGACUUAAUGGCUUGGAUACCUUAUUUGUUACUUCCCGAGAUAAUCAAGUCAUCAACAUAGAUUAAUACUACUACGAUGCCUUGAUUAUCUUGUUUAUUAAACAAAGUAUGAUCAGAAUGUGACCUUUUGAAGCCAUUUUUUAACAGAGUAGAGCUUAACUUGUGAUACCAAGCUCUCGGAGAUUGUUUGAGUCCAUAGAUAGCUUUCCGAAGCCUUAAGACCUUUCCUGGAGCUACUGUAUCCUCUAAACCCGGAGGUGGUGUCAUGUAAACCUCUUCUUCUAACUCCCCCUGAAGAAAAGCGUUCUUGACGUCCAUCUGCCAUAAUUCCCAAUCCAAAUUAACCGCUAAAGAUAGAACAACCUUUAUAGUGUGUUGCUUGGCUACUGGCGCAAAAGUCUCCCUAUAGUCAUCGCCAUAGGUCUGUGUGAACCUUCUUGCCACUAGUCUAGCCUUAUAUCUCUCAAUUUCACCAUCACUCUUAUACUUAAUAGUGAAAACCCAUUUUGAGCUAACACACUUCUUCCCUGGUGGCAGUUCUUCUUCAUCCCAAGUAUGAUUCCUAACCAUAGCUUGAACCUCAUCAUCCACAGCAUUAGUCUACUCCUUUCUUUCCUUGGCUUCUUCAUAGUUUUGUGGUAUAAAUUCCACAUCUAUCUUACUAAGAAAGGCUCUAUGUUCUUCGGGUAGAAGGUCAAUCAAACAUGUGGCUUGAAUUGGAUGUGCCACGGCUUGGCAGUUGUAGUAAACUCUUGUAUUCUUCCAAUUAGAAGGUGAUUUCUUCUCUCUUUUACUCCUUCUUGGAUUCUCCCGUGUGUAGACUAGAUCUUGUGUUACUUGUGGAACUUGAUAUGUAUCAUCAUCGCUUGAAGAUUCAAUAACUUCUCCUUCACUACUAGACUGACCCUUCUUUUCCACUUCUUCACUAGACCCUUCUCUUCUACCACUUUCUUGUUGAUCAUCCAAAAGAUCUUGAGAAACAUUAUUGUCACUUUCUAUAACUUCAUUAGUGUCCUCAUUUGGUGUUGGUGUGGCUUCCUUAUCUUCUUGUGGAGAGCUUACAUUCCCCAAAUGUUCUAAUAUGUGUCGGAGACUCUCAGCUCGAUCUGAGUUCGAGUUGGGCAGAUCCUUUACACUAUCCCAACUCUUCUCUCCAAAGUAAGCCUUGUCUUCCAUGAAUUUGACGUCCCUAGAUACAUGAUAUCUAUUGUUGACAGGAUCGACGCACUUGUAGCCCUUUUGAGUCGUUGAAUAUCCUAUGAAUACACAUUUAGUACUCUUGGGCUCUAGCUUGUUUCUCAAGUCACCUGGGACAAACACAAAGCAAAGACUUCCAAAUACCCUCAAAUGAUCAAUAUUAGGAUUUUGUUUAUUUAAGAUUUGAAAAGGAGAUUGAUCAUUAAGGAUACGAGUUGGUGUUCUGUUGAUGAGAUAACAUGCAGUCAUCACCGCAUCUCCCCAAAACCGUUUUGGUAUAUGUUUCUGAAACAACAUAGCCAUCACGGGACAUUAUAUCACGGGACAAAUUUUGGUUUUAUACAAUCUUUUCUAAAUGAGACUUAAUAUGUCUAAUAUUUGUGGUAUUAAAAAAAAAAGAUUUAAUCCGUAUUGAAGCGGCGGAUUAAUGAUAUUUUAAUCUUUUUAUUAUUGUUGAUUCAAAAACCUGUCCCGCCAAACCCGUCUGGCAAAAAAACUCAUUUAUUUUAUUAAUGUUCUUAUUUAUGAUAUGAUUCUGAAUCAUUGUCUAAAUAUUUUAAUCGAUGUAGAACGUUGAACACACAUUUUCGUCAAUUGGAUAAUAUAUGUCCGUUUUAAAAAUUUCGAAUCACAGUAUAUGCAGAAAAAAAAAAUUGUUUUUUUUUUACUUUAUGUAUUAUAUGAUGAUUCAAAACAGUUAGAAACAAAUCAAACAAAGAUGAUAGGAGAAUCAUAAUUAUAAAUCUUAAUAAAAUCUUCUAAAUAUCUAAAUUAUUAAAUAUGGAAUAUCAGGUGUAUGAAUUGGAUUAAAUAUAACCCGACCUAACAAAUUUUUUGUGAAAGAAUUUUAAAAACGGGUCGGAUAUCCGAUAUACCCAGAAGCAUUUUUACCCACCCGUCACCAAAGUGUUGCAAAAAUACUAAUAUAGAUUAAAUUCUUUUUAUUAUUAUUAGGUGUUAGAUUGUGAUUUGGUGAAAUAAAGGGGGUGAAUAUAAUGGUUCACCCCCCAAGUAUUUUUUCUACUUAAUCUAUAUGAUUUGGAAAACUUUCCUGAUAAAACCAAAGCCACGUGUUGUCUAGUCAUUUAUCUAUACAUAAUUAGAAAUUACAACAUUGUGAAUAUAAAGAUUGAUUUGGCAACUAGUAGAGUACACAAAUAACCUAACUGCUUAAUUGGCUAGAGAACAAUGGAUGAAUAAGACCCCACCAUUAGUUUUGAAGUUGAUCCUCUCAAAACCAUGGAACCUGUUGAUGAAGGCAAUGAUGUAUUUGUGAUUAUGAUUUAAGCUUCAAUAAACUAUUAUUUCUCUUGAUAUGAUAUCAACAAAUUGGCAUAUGGCCAAGUACACUCAUAUUUUUCUAACCUUAUUUUAACUUUCCUAACUUUUAGUUGCCAUGGAAUUUUGUCUAAAGAUUUGAAACCGCUUCUACAAUAUUCCCAUUAGAAAAGGAUAAUCAUGAGUCAUGACUACCAGCUCAGCUGUAGAAAGAAAGUCAUAAAGAAAAAGCUGAUCUUAGUGCUUCUCAUAAGUGGGUAUUCGAAAAUUUGUUCUAUUAUGGGGUUUAAUUAAUAAAGACUAAAGAGUGUAGAUAAGAUAUAUGGUUAGAAUGAUUUAACUUUUGUCUCUGAUUAAUUGUGGUGCAAAUGAAAAGUUUUUAAAUAGAUGAUGAUUUUUCUAUUUGCCGCAAAAUUGUAAAAUAGUAAAUAAUACAGGUUUUAUAUAAAUGACAAUAUGACAUAUCGGAUAAAAUCCAAACCAAUUUUCAGAUUUACAACAAUGAUUUAUGCAACCAAGUGGUAGUCUUUUAUUAAUUCUCACUUGUGAAGAAGUUGUCUUAUAGGUUUAAGCAAUGUUUAAAAUAGCGCUAGGUGCUAAUAGGGCGAUGACCUUUGCGUCUAGAACUCCUAAUCGGAGUCUUGGUAAUUUUAGACGGUUUAAGUGGUUUAUGCAUUUACAACAUAAAAUAUUAUAAAUAUGAUGUUAUAGAUAAAAACAUAAAAUUAUAUAUAAGAAAAAUAAAAAAUAUUAAAUCAUAAUCAAGAAUUAGAUAAAAACAUAAAAUUAUAUAUAAGAAAAAUAAAAAAUAUUAAAUCAUAAUCAAGAAUUAGAUAAAAACAUUUCUUUAAUUUAUAUAAAACAACAUAUGAACGUUUAUAUCCAUGUAUAUAGAGGUAUAACUUAUAAAUUUAAAUCUAUGUAGUUGGAAAUUAGAAAAAUACACUAAAACGAGAUUUAUGCUAUUUUAGGAGGUUGAGGCGGUCAUCUAGACGUCACCUGAGCGUCUAGGGUCUAGUCGAGGUUUAGGCGACCGCCUAAACCGAUUUUUAGAACAUUAGGUUUAGGUCAUGAUUAAUUCCUUUCAAAAAUGAAAUUAUUCUAUCACUUGUAUUUGAUCACUUGAAAUGGUAUCAUAUAUUAACAUUAGAAAAUCCGGUGAAUAGAUUAUCCAACGACUACAUUUACCAGAAAAGUAAUAGUAAAACAUUUCAUCCCAGAAAUAAAAAAAUAAUUAAUUAAACAUCGUAUAUCAUAUUCCAUAGAUUAAUAUUAUAUAUCAUAUAUAAUUGAACUUGCAUUUAAAAGUAACAAAAAUCAUGCUUCCUAAUCAUGUUUUAAACAUGGUAAAAAGAUUUUUGUAUAUUUUAAUCAUGCUUCCUAAUCAAGUUUAUAUACAAAAAUUCAGCUCAGAAAAAUAUUAAUCAAUCGAACAUCGUAUAUACUAUAUCCAUUUUUUAAUUUAAAUAAAUGUUUUGAAUAGUAACCUUGUCCUGCUUUUAUAUGAGAUGUACUGCUUUUACAAAUUACCAAUCAGAAAAAGGAUAUCAAAAACGUUACUAAAAUAUUAUUCUCGGCUUCUUUAUACAGUUUUAGUAUACCACUAUUUCUUACAGUUUAGUAUUGUUAUAUAAUAGUUUACCGUUAAAAAACUUAUAUAGUUUUGUGUUACAAAUCAGACCCAUAAUAAUUUACCUUACAUUUAAAAGUAACAUCUUGUCGAAUGGCACGAAGCAAGCGAGUGGGGUUCAAGUCAUGCAUGCAUAUCUUAAUUUUAAUGUCUUUCUUGAAAUUAUCAAUUUGUAGUCUAUAUAUAGCUAUAGUCAACUUCUACACGUACUUAUUGGAAUUAGCCUUUUAAUUCUAAAGUCAACUUAGAUUUCUCAAUCAUGCACAAAUAUUACAAUUCUCUUUUUGUACUGCAACAUUGCAACUAUUGCUCAUUAUUAUAAUGGAUAUUCACUGUCCAUAGGAGAUUUAUUCUCUCUGUUUAAAUAUAAGUACUAUAUUAAUAUUUUAACUAUAUUUUUAUACAAAUAAGUUGAUUUUGAAAUUUUACUUUUAUUUUACGUUUUCAAUUAGUUUUAGUUACAAAGAAACUUUGUAAUGUCACUUUUUGAUAUAUAACAUCAUGAUAAAAUAAUACAUUGAAAUCUUAUAAGGACGAUUUUAAAAAUAAAAAUGUUAGCAUAAAUUGACACUAUUUGUAAAAUGGAAAGAGAAUACAUUAUAUUCAUCCAUGUGUUAGUCAUUUUAUGUCCUCGAAGAUCUAACAAAUGGGAAACAACCCAAAUAUAUCACAAGAAAUCAAAAAUAAAAUUGAGAAUAAUUGAGAUAAAUAUCUGUAUUUAAAUUUUCUCAUUUAUGUUUUUUUUGUCUUUUCAUUCCUUUUUAUUUUAGUUUUAAUGCGAAAGCGAAACUACUAUAUUUUUAUUAGAACUCUGCAAUUUCCAAUUUAAAAGCUACUAUAUAUGUCAGAAACAUUCAUAAGAAAGCAGAUUUAAAACAAAUCUUGACAAUGGAUUCAAAACCCUUAGUUUGUUGUGAUCCAUAUGCUAAAAACAGAUUCCAUGAACAUGAAUAUUCAUUCUGAUUUCUUCUUCUUAUUUUCUGGAAAAUUCGGAUGAUAAAACAUAAUGGAUCUAUAUAUACAUUUUUGGAUCACAAUUAGCAAAUAAAUCCUGAAGUUGAGAAGUAUUUACAAUGGCAUGCCAUUAGCAUUAAUUAUUUAGAUUUGUUUUAUUUAAGUAAAGAUUUUUAAAUGAAAUUCAUUUCUAAUAUAUUUAGCAAAAGUCUCUACAAAAUCUUUCCUUAUCUAUUUAAGUAAAGAUUUUGAAAUCAAAUAUGUUCUCAACAAUUUAUCAAAAAUCUCUACACAAUCUUUUUAAGAACUUACUUAAGUUCUGAUUUUUAUAUGCAAAAAAAAAAAUUAAUUGUAACGAGUGAUGUAAAAAUCGGGAAUGUUGAUACUACAAUUUCUUCUACUUCUUUUUUUUCAUAUAAUGAAAAUUAUUUUUUAGGGAUAUUUUCUCAAAACCUCUAAAUAAAACAAAGGGUUUCAAAAGAUAGCUUCUCUUUUGGCGGGUCGACCCGCAAACCUGCAAUUCUCUACGGGCUUAUCCGCAUGAACCUGCGACCCGUAGUGGAUAAAAAUAUUAUUCAAAAAAGAUUAACAAAUGAUGUUUAAUUUUACGGGACGGAGUUAUAUGGUGCAACGAGUUUGGAUCGAUAUUAAUAUUAAACAAUAUACUAUGGAUGAAAUCCUAGAAUUAAAAAUCAAAAUUUAAUUAUAAAAUCAGAAACACUAAACAAAAUAAACAAUAUUAACAAAACAAAUACAACUUAAAAUUUUGCUAAAUAAUUUUUUAGUUAUAAAAAAUUCGAUCCGCGGUGUACCGCGGGGUAAAAUCUAGUGAUGUAUUAAAGUCAAAGAUUUUAUAUAGUGGGUUGGUUGUCACCUUAGGAUUAGAGUAAUUAUGCGAAAAAAAAAUUAGGUCAAUGAUACUGCGACUAAGUUCAAUGAAAGAUCAAAGAGCUUUUUCUUUACUUUUUAUUUUUUUUCUUAUUAUUAUUAGUGGUCCUAAUAAAUUUUAAAAAUAUUUUUUAUUGUUUGAAUCCUUUUCAAUUCACCAAAGGUCCAUCAUUCACAUUGUCAAUAAAGAUUUAUUGAAGAGUACCACAAGACUUCGUGAGGAUGACCUACUUUUCUAUAUUUUAAAAUUAAAUCAGAAACAUUCAUACAAAAUAAACAUUAUAUAUAUAUAUAUAUAUAUAUUUAUAAAUAUCUAAAUUUAAGCUAUUAGGAACCAUCCUAUCACAAUAUGUCUUAAUUUCAUUUGUCAGGAUUCAAACCUCUCCAUCAUAUAGAGAAAAAAAAAAACUCACAAUACUAUCAACACAUACUUACAAUAAUUUUAACUUUUUAUGAGAUCUGAAACUUUAUGGAAAAAAUUCUGUUCACACAGUAUUGAAAAGUUUCUUAUGGCUGAUAGUUUUUUUUUUCUUACGCCAUCAUUUACUAGCGUCGAUCCCCGAUAGUCCUGUUAAAUUUGGGCUAAUUCUGAGCUUCCAACUAAAAACCAAUUGACAAUUAGUGGACUGGCUCUAACCCUUUAUAUAUUAUUGGUUGUCCCAUCAAACUUCCGAUGUGAGACUUGGAUUGUAUCUCCAACAAUCUCUCCUUCAAUCCAAGGACCAUAUGGAUCUAACACGCCUCAUCGAUCCCUCACUCGGAUCGAUAAUAAGCCCCUUUCUCGGACCCCCAUUACUCGGGUUUGAGGUAUGUCCGUAUCCACAUUUCUAGGUCCACCAGAAUUUGAACCUUGGGCUCUGAUACCAUGUUAAAUUUGGGCUAAUUCUGGGCUUCCAACUAAAAACCAAUUGACAAUUAAUGGAUUGGCCCUAACCCUUUAUAUAUUAUUGGUUGUCCCAUCAAACUUCCGAUGUGGGACUUAGAUUGUAUCUCCAACAAGUCCUAGAGACUACAUGCAAAUGCGGAUAAACAAAUUUUGGCACGAAUAAUACAAGAAUUAUUUUGCAAUUAAAUCUUACUAUUUAUAGAUGACUCUCGAAUUCUCUAUCUAUUUUUAAGAAAAUGAUUACGACCAUAACUAAUAUACAAACAAGAUUCAUUUCUUUCUUUUUUAUUUUUCAAUUACGACGUAAAGGAUGAUCCAUGAACUAUAUUGUUUGUAUUAUAGAAUCCAAUCAAACCAAUCUCUUUGGAUUAAUAUCGAAUUAUUUUAUCCCCGUAUCUUUUACAGUUUCAAAUUAGAUGACGAUUUAAGAAGCUGCAGGCGUCACAAUAAUUUAAUAAUUACAAAUAAAAUUGAGUUAAAACUGUCAACAGUCUACUUAUAUGUGUAAACUUAAAUAAACGAAUAAAUCCUCGAAAUUUAAAAAUAAUGAAGAAGUCAGCAUCAUCAUAAUGGAUUAUUAUAAAUACACACACAUAGAUGGAUGUUCAACUUCAUUGAGAUCUAAGAUCACUUUUAAAAAAAUAUUCUGCUCUCCUUUUUUUAUAAACAAAAAGUCAAAAUAUCAAGAAGAGGAAGAAGAAGAAGAAACUCAUUUUCUCUCCGCAGAGAAAAUAAAAUCCAUGGCUUCUACUUUUAGGCUCUCUAUUAGCUUCCUCACUCUCCUCCUCUUCUCUCUGGUAUGUUUAUCUCUCCCCAUAUAUUGUUAACAAAUUUAUACACAUGUAUAUGAUUCUUUAUACAUAUGUACCUCUAUAUAUGUAUAGACAUAUAUGUGUGUUAAGAGGCUUAAAUUGAAAGCCUUAUUCUUUAUACAUAUGAACCUCUAUAUAUGUAUAUGGUUAAAAGUAUUACUAUAAGAAAUAAAAAUCCUGGAAACUAAUCACAUAAUUUGUAAUUGUGGCACACAAAUUUACAGAAGUUUAUGCAUCAUAAUGUUUUAAGAACCUUUUUUUUUUCUCUUCAGUCGGACAAGAAUCUACAGCAUAUAUUCAUGACAUAGUUUGUAAUGAAUUUUGAUUUGUACAUAAGUUCUUGCAUCAUGGGUUCUUACCACAUUGUUAGGAAGAAAAAAGUAUUAUUUUCCUUCUGGCAACCUUUUUUAAAAAAAAUCUAUUUAAAUCGAAAAGAAAACUUUGAAUCUUUUUGAACUGUUUGGUGUCUAAUUUAUCGGUUUUGUGUUUCUUGAAUGUAGUGGGUAGUGGAGGCACACACGUCAAGAAAGCUGAUAUCAAUCAAGGAAAACGAAGGUCAAGAUACUAGUCAUUUGCUCAAAGAUGGUGAAUUCGAUGAUCCUUCAUUGUACAUGUAUUUCACACCCAAUGAUCUCAAACUAGGAACCAAAUUGCUGAUUUACUUCUACAAAAACGAUCUUCAAAAGCUUCCUCCACUUCUCACAAGACAACAAGCUGAUCUCAUUCCUUUCACUAAGUCAAAGCUUGACUUCCUUCUGGACCACUUCUCUAUCACCAAAGACUCUCCUCAAGGGAAAGCCAUAAAGGAGACUCUGGGAUAUUGUGAUGCUGAAGCUAUUGAAGGUGAGCAUAAGUUUUGCGGGACUUCUUUGGAGUCUUUGAUCGAUCUUGUGAAGAAAACAAUGGGGUAUAAUGUUGACCUCAAGGUCAUGACAACUAGAGUAAUGGUACCGGCCCAAAAUUCGAUAAGCUACGCUUUGCAUAACUAUACAUUCGUCGAGGCUCCAAAGGAACUUGUUGGGAUUAAGAUGUUGGGAUGCCAUAGAAUGCUAUACCCUUAUGCUGUUUACUAUUGCCACGGACAUAAAGGUGGAAGCAGAGUCUUUGAAGUUAAUUUGGUGACGGAUGAUGGGAGACAACGGGUCGUAGGACCCGCUGUCUGCCACAUGGACACGUCCACGUGGGAUGCGGAUCAUGUAGCUUUUAAGGUGUUGAAGAUGGAGCCGAGGUCAGCACCGGUUUGCCAUUUCUUCCCUCUUGAUAACAUUGUGUGGGUAACAAAGUAAGAAAAUAGACUUAGCUCUAUAUAAUGUGAGUAUGUGUUGUAAUAACUAUGGUUUGAAAGGAACAAAAAAAAAAGAAAGAAAGACAGCCUUAAUGUUGGUUUUGGUAUUGCCUCUUUUGUGUAACUUGCAGCAGCUCGUGAAAAUACUAGUAAUGUAACAUAUAAUAUCUCAUGCUAUACUACAUAUUUAUAUAUCACGAUGUAUGUAGCUUUUGGUCCAUGAAAUAUAUAUGUCCGGUUUGGAAAUUUUCGAAUUUUGGAUCGAAGUGACUCGAUCAUGCGGGAAUAUAUGAUUUUUACACGUGACGCUUAUAAUACAGGGUGGUCCAACGUAUUUUUAGCAUCAAGUCAAUUACGACUUACCCUUCUUGCCAAUAAUAGCAAGUUUUAGUAAUAUCUCCCGACUGUCGACAACGAACCAUUCACAUCACCGCGAUUUGAACAUUUCAUCCAAGUUAUUCACUUAGCUUUGAGAGGUAUAUAUAUAGACGUUAAGAGGAAUUUUUUUUUUUGAAUUUAAUGUUAAAUUAUAUUCAAAAGAAAAUAAACGUUUUUACAUAUGAAAUGCUAACUUUUCUGAAACAUUUGUAAAUAGAGCUACUAUCUGUUUUCUAUUGCCUUGAUUCAAACCAUGCUUGGAUUCCACCUGCAGAUUUCAAACAGCCACCUUUGAGUGUGCUCAAGCGAUUUCGCAUAUUCUUGUCUAUCAUUUUCACGAGUAGUUCCGACGGUAUGGGUUGUUCCCCGUGCCUCCUUCUGUUCCGUUCACUCCAAAUCGAGUGGAUGGAGUUCUGGAAUACGUACCUUAGCAUAUAGCUUUUCUUUUUGUCGAGGAUGUUUUCUGCUAGUAACUUCAAAAUGUCUGUCCAACUCUCCGAGUAUCUAGUAGACAGAAUUCCCAUUGCUAGGUUCUUCCAUAUCGUUUUGGAGUAGGGACAGCAGAAAAAGAGAUGUUCCCUUGUCUCUAUCGGCUCAUCACAAAAGACACAACUUGAAUUCACAGUACCAUUCCACUUCAACAUUCUCUCCCCUGUUGAGAUUCUGUUUUUCAAAACCAACCAAGUAAUGAAUGCAUAUUUUGGAGUUGCAGUUGGGAACCAUAUCUCUUUAUGUCCCUCCAUCGGCGGCUUAGCUAUGCGCAGUUGUAACCAAGUCUCCCUCGUUAUGAACCUCCUAUGGUAGCAGUCAUUUUUUCCUUUCCACAGAGCUGUGUCAUGUUCAUUCACCCUCUGGUUCAACCUUAGUUCCCUUAUUUCUUCUUCUACACGGUUUAAGGUGAGCUGUCGAUGGUUUCUUCUCCGAGUCAUGUUCAUUACUUCUUUCACCGUGCUAGAUAGGGGAAUUCCCAGAUCAAUACAGCCCCGUUCUCCAAGUUUCUCUAUGAGACAUCCCAUGUUACUCCAUGAAUCAUACCAAAAAGAUGUAGUCUCUCCAUUCUUCACCUCUACUCGAUGAAACUUUUUUGCCAUGUCACGGUAUUUUAGAAUUUUCCUCCAUAUCCAUGAACCACUCAUUGAAUUCCCUUUUACCGCCCAAAAAGAACCAAAACGAAUUAAGUAUCUAUGUACCCAGUUCACCCAUAAGGACCCUUUUGCCGACAGUAUACGCCAUAUCAGUUUGAAUACACUGACCUUGUUUGCUUCCUCUAUGGAUAAAGAAUAGAAUAUAGAUCAAAUACAAACAAAAAUAAAACCAGCAGAAGUUAUACAUCCAGAUGUGAAUUUGAAAUGAAUAACAUGAUUGUUACACGUUUUCAACAAAUAUCAUACAUAUUAUUUCAAUAUUUUAUCCGAUAGUGCAUUAUUUAUAUAACUAGGAUUAGACCCGUACAUCGUACGAAAAUUUAAUUUUUGAAAUUUUAUUUUAGUAUAAUCAAAUAAAAAAUAUUAUUAUUAGUUUAUCAAAUACGUAACAAAUCACUAAUACAUUUUAAAAAAACUCUAAUACAUUUAAAAAUCACUAAUACAUUUAAAAUAUAUAUACAUGUGUGAAACACAUAAAACUAAAAUCAUGAGUUGUUAAUUAAAUUGAGAGUGAUUUUAGGACUCUAACGAUCAUGAGAUGUGUGGUUAGAAAAGUUAGGAAUUUAUAGCAUAUUAUUUGUUGUAAUUUAUUUUGAAAAUUUAGAAACAUAAAAUCUUAGGCAGUUGUAUCACGUUGUCUGAUUUUUUUUAUAUUUUUGUUAUUUACUUAAAUUUUGAAGUAAAAGACCAUGUGUCAAAAUUUUAUUGGUCAAGUGACUUGUACUUUCUAAUAUAAAGGAUAUAUCACGUAACUUGUUUAAAACAUAUACACAGAAAAUCAAAACCUACAUAAUUACGAUUUUUUCACGGCAUCAUUUUCAUAAAUAAAGGUAUAAAAUUUGGCUAUCUAGCCUACUAAAUCCUAACAGAAACUCUCAUGUUGACAAAAUAAAAAUCCAAUAGAGAUCUCACGAGUUUUUAUUACGAUCUCCGAAGAUAAGAAUCUAUCAUUUUUCACUUGCAUGGUAGUUGGUAGAAUAGCUAAAUACAGAACAACAGUGUUUCGAAAUAUAGAUUUCAAGACCAUCCCCAAUGGUAGAGUUUUAUAAGAGACUCUUACAAUUUUUUUAAUUUUAGAGUUUGUGUUAGAGUCCUUAAAUUUUUCAUUGUCCAAUGGUAGAGUUCAAAGUGAGUUUCUUUUAAAACAAAUAUUUUUAAAAUUAAAAAUUAUAAAUUUUUUUUAUUUGAUAAAACUUAAUAAUCAUUGCAAUUCAUAAAAUUUUAAACAUAUAUGACAUAAAAGCAUAUAAAAAUAUGCAAAUAAAAAAAUCGGAAUAACGAUUAGUUGUAAGCUUGAUUCAUGCCAAAAUUUUGUUAUAUAUGCUUAACAAAAUCAGCUUUCAAUUGUUGAUGAAUAGUCCGAUCACGAACUCGAGUUCGAAUGUCCAUCAUAUUACUGAGAUUUGAAGGCAUAUAUAUAUAUAUAUAUAUAUAUAUAUAUAUAUAUAUAUAUAUAUAUAUAUAUAUAUAUAUAUAUAUAUAUAUUAUUAGUAUUUUUGACCAAACCAGAAAGCGGGGUUCUUAACAAUCCUUAAACCUCUUAUAUUAAAAAACAACUCUUAACAAUCCUUAAUUUUAUUUGUUGUUUUCAUUUAUUUUAAUUACUUUUAACCUUGAAGAUUUUUUUUUUUUUUUUUUUGAACACCUAACCUUGAAGAUUUUUUUAAGAAAUCCAUAAGAAACACCAUCGGAGGUGCUCUAAAUUUAAGGUCACACUUAUGCCCACUCACAUAUUGGGCUUUUGAAUUAUUGGGCUAUUUCAGCUCUAUAAUUCAAAAGCGCAAUAUGUGAGUGGGCAUAAGUGUUGUUGUUGUGUUGCUACAUUUUGGUUGUAAUAUUGAUCACCUCCAGCUAAAAUCCCAACAAAAACAAAAGUAUGACAAAGGCUUAGCUAAGAAGAAACUAGGUGAAACUAAAGCUCAAUUAAUGGUACGGGGUUUAGUUAGGGUUCAAGGUUUUGUACAUAGUUAGAUGAGAUGGUGUUUAAAAGAGAAGAGCAGAGGAAUAUAUAUGAUUUAUCUAAUUCUUGGUGACAAGAAACAAAAUUCAUGUUUUUCUUGACUAAUAAGAAACUAAUAGGGUUUUAAUUAGGGUUCAUGGUUUUUAUUUGUACAUACUUUUGCCUGCGGCGUAAGCAUUGCUUCCGUAGUACGGCAUCUGGUCAAGCUUUGAUUUCUUCUUCUUCUUCCGAAAACAACAGACACAUAACAAGAUCAUGACGAUGAACAAAAGUCCAGCUGCAGCCACAAGUCCUAUAACAGCACCAAUGUUCAGACCAUCGUUACUUGACGAAUUCGAGCCAUUGUUGCUUGUAGGAGGCGCCAUCGAUUUUGGUGGCGAUGAGGAGCUAUGAUCAGAAGUCUUAGACGGUGGUGGAGUAUGAUAAGUGUUCUUGUUUCCUCCAUUGCCGUUGCUUCCAUCAUUUCCUUUGUUGUUUUCGUUGUUGUUACCUUUGUUGUCACUGUGCUGAGGCGGGGAGGGUGAAGGAGGAGGUAGAGAUUGUGAUUGUGAGGAGGAGGAUGAGUCAGACAGUGGUGGUGGAGGCGACGAGGAAGAACAAUCAAAGGAAUUAUCCGGCGAAGGAGGAGGUGGUGAUUCUUGUUGUUGUUGAGGUGGAGGAGCUAGGUCAGGUGAAGAUGGAGGAGGAGGAGAUGUUAAUUCUUGAUUGUCGGAAGGAGGAGGAGAUGUUGUUUGUUGAUCGUUGGAAGAAGGAGGUGACUGUUAUGGCUGAAGCCAAAACAAAGAUAAGAGAUUCAGAAAUGGAAGGUAGAAGAGAAGAGAAGAGAUAGAAGAGAAGAGGAGAGAUAGAUGAGGAAGUUGUUUUUGAUUUUAAUCGGUAAAAACCCUAGAAACGGGUACUGUUCCCUUAAAUACAUUCAACAGCUAAUGUAAUAAGACGACAGCGUUUUGAUAUUAUUUAGGUUAUAAGCGAACUCUCUCUCUCAAAUAGAGGUUCUUCCACACUUCAACUCCAAAACAGACUCUUAGCCACUUUGCACUUCCUUCCUCUGCAACCAAACACGAGCCUUUCUCCCCUUAGACCUGUUCUUCUUCCUCAUGAAUGUGAUUGGUGCUUGCAACCUAUCAGUGACGGAGGAGAAGGAGGAGGAGGACCCGGCGGUGAGUUCUCCGGGGAUUGCCCCUCCGCCAUUAUCUCUCUCUCCGGUGGUUUCAAUAUGAGAUGAAACAAGAAACACCCAACUCUGUUCCUGUUCUCCUAGGAACAAGGAACCAUUUUUUCCCUCAAAUUCUAUUUUUAAGAAAGUUUUCGAAUAAUUUUUGUUAUUUCUAUAUUUGGUAAUUAUACAGCCAGGCAAAAAAAAAAUAUUCACAACGACAAUUUUCAGUUACAGGAUAGAUUUUCUGUUUGCAAAAUGUUAAUUAUUUUAAAAAAUGCUCUCGUUGAGAGUCGAACUCAAGACCUCCCGCUUACUAAACGGGUGCUCUAACCAACUGAGCUACGAGAGCUAUUCGAUUUUUUCUUGUUCUUUGACAAUUAUCAAAGUUUUUGUUGGUCAACGGUACUAUCAUCAAGGUUCUUUGUUGGUCAACGGUAAUAAUAAGUUUUGUUGACAAUGAAAAUUGAGAUUUUAAUGUCUCUAAUUUAAUGUUGAUUACAAGGCUAUUCAUAAUGACUUGAUUUCAUUUUUAAAAGAUAAAAAUUAAAUUUUAGAAAAAUGGAAACCCUAGACUUUCUACUGCCUUUUUUUUAUUCUUAUAAAUACAUAUUAGCUCACAUCAACAUUUUCGCUUUGGUUGAUUUCAUCUGAUAAACAUGUUAUUUCUCAUUUUAACAUAAACAAAAAGGUUAUCUCUCAGUUACCUCUUUAUAAGUUCAUGCUCUUUCGAUGAAAUGAUAUGUGUUUAACAAAUUUGGGUCCCAUGAUGUCCUCGCAGCAACGAUUUAGCCUAAAUCCUAUUGAGGUUCACGCGGAAUUUACUUAAUCAAAACAACAUUGUCCUGUGUUGUUUUCUUCUAUAUAUGCCAUGUUCUCCUAUCGAACUUGCUAUAUCCACUACAAGAAAAAUGAGCUUCGGUAGCAGUUCUUUGUAGCGCAAAUUUAUGAACUGCUACUAAAAGUUCCAAAAUCGGAUGGCAAGUAUUUCGCAGCACUAUAUUAACGCUAGGAUAUAGUUUUUUAUUAACCGGGAACUUAACUCAGUAUUAUAGCGGGUAAAGGUAAUUUUGGAGGCAAACUAAUUGGGGUUUUCCCCCCAAACAAAAAAAAAAGUCUCGAUUCUCUAAGUCUUCAGACCAAAAAGACUCGAUUCCAUGAAAUCAAAAACCCAAAAACAAAAAGCAUUGAGAAAUCGCAAUACCCAUUCCAUGAAAUCUCGAUUCCCAUUGACAAGAUCUCGAUUCUAAGCACCAAAAGCUCCGACAGUCUCUGUGUCUCCGUCGCUAUCUCCGUCAAUCUCUGUCUCUCUUUCCGGUAUCCAUCGAUUUGUCUCCGUCGCUCUCUGUCUCCGUCGCUCUCUGUGUCUCCGUAGCUCUCUUUCUCAGUUUCUCUCUGCCUCAGUCUCUAUCCGCCUCUGUCUCUUUCCGCCUCUGUCUCAAUAGCUCAGUCGAGCUCAGUAGAUUCGAAUCUGAAAGGUAUAAGGCAUUCAAUCUAUGCAUUUCAGUUCUUUACUAUGUACUAGUACUCUGAUUUUAAUUUUGACCAUUUUAAACAUUGAAAGGUAAUCACAUCUCAUCAGCUGGAUCUUCUGCCUGCAUCAUCUGCCUGUUUGCAUCAGAACACAGAGGCAAGUUCUCACAAUGAAACUGAAAUUUGAUUCAUUUGUUUGAUUCAUUUGUUUACGAGUUGAAUGAAUUGGCUGAAUGUGAAUAUAUUUGUUUGGUGUUUGUUUGGUGUUUGUUUGGUAUUUGUUUGGUGUUUGUGUUAUUCUUAUGUGUUUGUUUUGUUUUCUUUAUGGGUAAGGACAUAUAAUGGUUAUGGAAAAGAGAUGGGUUCAUCUUAACAGGUAUGUGAGAGCGUUUUGUAUAGUUGAGUUUAUUGGUUUAAUUAAUAUGUUAAAGAUUUUUUAAAGUUUGUAAUUCGUUUUUUUCUUUUGGUUUUUUGCUUUUAUGUUACUUCAUUGCAGAACCGAUCCUGGUUAUGAGAAAGGUGCUUGGGAUUUUGUGAGGUCUGUGGCUGCAGGUUUAGGAGACAAUGCAAUGAUUGUUUGCCCGUGUAUUGACUGUCGCAACGUAUAUCGCCACUCUGCCGCUAAUGUUGUUGAUCAUCUUGUAACAAGGGGAAUGGAUUGGAGUUACAAGGCGAGUGAGGACUGGUUUCAUCAUGGAGAAGUGAAAUCAGGGACUGAGUGUAGAAAGAAUACAAGCCAGUUGAACCAAGAGAUCUUAGGUUUGUUCAAAGCUGCUGAGUUUAUGGAUGAAGAGCUGGUUAGUCAGGGUGAUUUAAAUGAUGUUGCUGAUGGCGAUGAUAAGUUAGAAGAUGAGUUCUUAGCCAAGCUAGCUGAUGCAAAAACACCACUAUAUCCAGGUUGCACAAACCACAGCAAGCUAUCUGCGAUUGUUUCACUCUUUAGGAUAAAGACUCAGAGUGGUUGGUCUGACAAAAGUUUUGAUAGUCUACUUGAGACUUUAAAACAGAUGCUACCCAAGGACAAUGUAUUGCACACAUCCUUGUAUGAAGUGAAGAAAUUUUUCAAAUCUUUUGAUAUGGGUUAUGAGAAGAUACACGCUUGUGUAAAUGACUGUUGUCUAUUUAGAAAACAGCUCGAGGAGCUCGACACUUGUCCUAAAUGCAAUUCUUCGCGAUGGAAGAUUAACACGCGAACUGGUGAGGUGAAGAAAGGUACUCCACAGAAAGUACUUAGGUACUUUCCGAUAAUUCCACGUCUCAAGAGGAUGUUCAGGUCAGAGGACACGGCGAAAGACUUACGGUGGCAUUUCAGUAAUAAGAGCACAGAUGGAAAAAUGCGUCAUCCGGUAGAUUCUGUGACGUGGGAUCAAAUGAAUAAAAAAUAUCCGUCAUUUGCUACAGAGGAAAGGAACAUUAGGCUUGGACUCUCCACAGAUGGGUUUAAUCCUUUUAACAUGAAAAAUGUUAACUAUAGUGCGUGGCCUGUUUUGCUAGUCAAUUACAACAUGCCACCUGACAAGUGUAUGAAAGAGGAGAACAUCAUGUUGACAUUGCUGAUUCCUGGACCAACUCAACCUGGAAACAAUAUAGAUGUCUAUUUAGAGCCUCUUAUAGAGGAUCUAAACCAUCUGUGGGAGAAGGGAGAGGUAACGUAUGAUGCAUUCAGUCGCACUACAUUCACUUUAAGAGCAAUGCUUCUGUGGACCAUACAGGAUUUCCCGGCAUAUGGAAAUCUAGCAGGCUGCAAAGUUAAAGGCAAAAUGGGUUGUCCUGUUUGCGGGAAGCACACAGAUAGUUUGUGGUUGAGUAAUUGUAGAAAGCACGUGUAUAUGUCUCACCGGAAGUCUCUGUCACCCACCCAUGUUUAUGUGUGAAAUUAUACUAUAUGUGAUUGUUUUUUUGUAUUUAUGAUUGUUUAGAAUGUGUGUUUCCUGUGAAUGAUUUUUGUUUUCUAAACAAGUAUAUGUUUUGAUAAUCAAGUGAUUUCUUUUGUUUCAGGUGAACUAAGAUGGUCAACACUACUCGAAAAAGGCAUUCACAAAAAAAGAAGAAGAUUGCCGAGAUAGAGGAGAAGCAGUUGGAAACUCAGGAAUUAGUAGAGGAUCAGUGUGAAACUCAAAAUCUGUGUAAUGGAGUUGAUGCUGAUUUACAAGAGGAUGCUGAUUUACAAGUGGAUGCUGAGUUAGAAGGUAAAGAGAAUGAUGAUGAAGACAAUGAAGACAAUGUAGUUGAACCAGUUGAUGAUGAUGCUGCUGCUUACAAUGAAGAUCAUACUCCGAAUGUUGCUGAAAAUAUUGCUGAACCAAAGCGUAAAAGGAAACGAGGACCAACGAAGAUGAAAAACAUCGCCAAGGAUCCAAAUGAAAAGGUUCACGUGGAUUAUACUAUCAUGGGAGAACCUUGUGGUCCAGGGUCAGUACCGUUUGCAUCAUAUUUAGGUACAAUAGUACGGGAACAUGUUCCUUACACAAUCCGGGAUUGGAGGAAAGUAAGUGAAGAUAUCAAACUUGUUUUGUGGAGAUCUAUUGAGGUAUUCUGUAAUUUACUUUUACAUGUUGCUUCUUUUAAUUAGAAUUGCUUUGUGUGAUUUCUGAUUUUAAAUGAUUCAUUUGAAUGCAGCUAAGGUUUGAUCUUGACCAACCAUGGAAGAAAAGAGCUGCAUUUGUUCAGAUGAGAGAUAUAUGGAGAUCCUCUAAAUCACGCCUUGUUUCAGCGGUCAGAGGAGCUGAUAACAUGAAAGAUAGGAUGGAUCUGCGACCACCUAAUAUAACUGAACCCGAAUGGCGUAAGUUUAUAAAAGAGAAGACUAGUAAUGCAUUUAAGGUAGUAAGUGAUUCUAUGAAGAAGAAAAGGAAGCUGCAGAUUCCUCAUUGCCUUGGCCGUAAAGGAAUGGUCAGAAAGAGAGAAGAAUUAAUCGAGGCAAGCUCAGACCCAUCCCAGGUGACAAGAGCAAAAGUGUGGGUCGAGUCACGGACCAAGAAGGAUGGUACUCCUGUAACUACAGAGGCGGCUGAAUUGAUUGUAUGUUAUGUUUAUUCUUCUAAAAUUACUUAAUAUAUUGGUCAUCAUUAAUGAGUGAUGUACAUUACUAUGUUAUUUGUUUGCAGAGAAAGGCAACCGAGCUAGAAAUUGAAGGUACUCAGGAUUCAGCUACAACAAAUCCAAAGGAAGAUAUACUUAGUCAAAUUUUGGGACCUGAUAAUCCUGGAAGACUACGGGCAAUGGGCAGAGGCAUGAGCUUGACCAAACUUUCUUGUUUCCAAGUCAACAUAAGCUCUAUAGCUGCAAUGGAAGCAGAUCAGGUUCAAAUGAAGAAUAGAAUUUAGGAUUUAGAGCAAAUUAUUGAAAAAAUUUAUGAUCAGGUUAGUAUACUAUAUACACAUUAUGUACUGAUAUAAUAUUUAAUAAGUUAUAUAUACUAUAUGUUGAUAUGUUUCUGAAAUUGCAGAGACAAGAGGGUGAUGUUGGUGAAAACUCUAUACAUAAGAGUGUAAAUACCAAAACACUUCCUAAGUGUAGUUUGGUUGACUGGACUUCUUCUGAUGAUAAUGUUGCUGAGGGCCGUAUUGUUUCUUAUGAUGCUGAUGAAUUAGUACAUGGGAUACCUUUAGGGCCUUAUGCAGUUAAGGUUUUUAUUGAAUCUGCUACCAAACCAGAAGCUCCAUUAUGGAGACCUAUACCUGAGAGGUCUACUAUUGAGGAUGUAGUUGGAGAAAUGAUUGCAUGGGAUCCCGAUUUAUGUAUUGUUCCAAGCGAAGGUGGCAUUGCAGAAGACAUUGCACCUAAGGUUAAGUAUCUUUUAUUAAUUGUUUUUUGUAUGUAGAUCAAACUUUCUCAAUAAUCCUUCUUCCUGUUUUGUACCUUUGUUCCACAGAGCCCUAGCACAAGUUCAAAAAACAGAUGCAAACUCAAGGCUUUGGGUAAGAAUGAUGAAGUUGUAGCUGAAGGUAGAUGGCAGUCUCGAGAACGGAGUGCGUUGGUAAAUGGACUUCCUAUUGGUCCAAAUGCAAUCAAAGUUUAUGUGGAUUCGGUUUUAAACACAAAUACAUGGCUAUGGAGGCCUACAGCGGACAUGAGAACUCUGCAGGAAUCUUUGAACUGUUUUAUAGCAUGGCCUGCAAAUAGAGUUGUGAUUGAGACAACAUCGACUGAAUCCCCUGUUCUUCAACAAUCUACAUCUAAGGGAGGAAGCAUAAGAUCUCAUAAGGAGAUGUCUCCUGUAAUUUCUAAAUCUCCUAAUGGUCCUAUAUCUUCGACUAACUCAGCAAGUCCAAGUUAUCUGAGGGACAAGUCUCCAGAAACUCCAAAAGCUCCUUUGAAGAAACCUUUAUUGAAAACAAAACCAUCUCUGACAGGGGCAUCUCCUCGUCACAAAUCACAGGUACAUGAAUUGGUUGUGGUUGUUCUUGUUGUAUGGCUUUAAUCUUUGCUGGUUGCUGAUUUCUGUAUUCAUUUUUUGCUGGUUGUUAUUGAAGACAUCUCUGAAAGAGGCAUCUCCUCGUCGCAAAUCCCAGGUGCAUGCUCUUUAAGGAUCAUGAUUGGUUGUGAUUGUUCUAUCUUGUUGAGUUCUGGCUAUCUUUUUUUUUGCUUGUGGUUGAUUUCUGUGUAUCUUUUUUGCUGGUUGUUUUUGAAGCGUCUCGCCUUCAAAGAAAAUCAAAAAUGCAAGUUGAUGGAUAUAUCCGAAAUGGAUCGCGUUGUUGCUGAAGGACGUUGGUCGUCUAGUAAUCCUGACCAAGAAGUACAUCACAAGAAACUGGGGCCUAAUGCUUGUCGCGUAUGGGUGGAUGUUGUGAUUGAACCUGAUGCUCAGGUUUGGAGGCAAACCCCUGCAAUCGAGUGUAUGGCAGAUGCACAUGGAACUUGUGUUGCCUGGCCAGAAGGUAAAAUUGUAAUGGAGAAUGAGGACAAGUGAUGUUUCAGAUGGGAGAACGUGUUUUUGAGUUUAAAGACAUGACUACUUUGUGUUAUUUUGUGUCUUACAAUGGUUAUUUGGAUCCCUUUGUUUUUAUUUUGCAUUAUUAUGUUGAAUCAGAAAUUCUAUGUUUCAGAUAAUUUAAAUGGGACAAGUUACUUAAUUUUUUGUUUUUAAAAUUUUUGAGAUAUACUUAGUCGAUAUGUUAAUAAGCCAAAUUUCAAAAAUUUAGAUAUGUUAUUAGUCGAUAUCUAAAAAUUUGGAUAUAUACAAUGUAAAAAUCAAUAUAUAAAUAAUUCAAAUAGUGUAGAGAAAAUUUUAAAAAAUAAGAUAAUUAUGAAUUAUUAAUAUAUGAAAAACGAAAUUAACAAUGUAAAAAUAUAAUUUUAUGUACAUUUGUACAUAAUUAUGAAUUAUUAAUAUUAGUUAGCAUUAUAAAUAAAUCUUUAUAUCAUAUAGUAAUAUAAGAUAUAAACCCCAAACCCUAUACCCUAAACCCUAUACCCUAAAUCUCUUAGUUGAAAGCAUUCUAAACCAAUAUAUGAAACAUGAAAUUAACAAUGUAAAAAUCUAAUACUAUGUAUAUUUGUACAUAAUUAUGAAUUAUUAAUAUUAGUUAGCAUUAUAAAUAAAUCUUUAUAUCAUAUAGUAAUAUAAGAUAUAAACCCCAAACCCUAUACCCUAAACCUUAUACCCUAAAUCUAUUAGUUAAAGGCAUUCUACACCAAUAUAUGAAACAUGAAAUUGACAAUGUAAAAAUAUAAUUUUAAAUUUUAAAUUAAACUUUACCAUAUGAAACUUAUUUUUAUUUAAUUGUUACACCAUAUUCCAAAAUUAAUACAAAGAAAAAUAACAAAAUACUAUACUAAUAACAUACCAAUCGUUAACAAAUUAUCUCAUUGGCUAAUUGAUGAAGGUGUGGAUCACCUAAUUAUUCAUAUCUACCGUUGAUUAGAAUAAAUCUAACGGUCAUUAAUUAGCUCUGUUUUAAUUAACUUUUAAUUUCUCUCUCAUUACUCGAUGUCUUCAAAGCUUGAAUCUCAUUCUCGAGACCAAACACCAAAACGCAAUCUCAUUCUCGAGACCAAACACCAAAAAAAAAACACAGAUUGAAUCUAAGAGGAGAUCAUAUCAUCUUUGUCACCAUCGCCAAACACUACAAAAAAUCAUUGCCGAAUCUAAAGGUUUUACUCUCUCUUUCGAUUGCUUGUUUUUCGAAUCAUCGCCGAAUCUUUAUUUUUUGUUGUCGCUAUUUUGCUUUCUCGAAUACCCUGUCAGAGAUGGUUUCAUGAAAUCAUAAUAGUUUUUGUUGUCGCUAUUUUGGUUUCUCGAAUACAAGAAUCUUAAUAGUUUUUGUUUCACAAUGAAAUCUGGACUUUCAUGAAAUCUGCCUGAUUUCACAAUGAAAUCUGGACCUACUCCGUCUCUCUCUCUCUCUGGACCUUAAUAGUUACUGAUUCAGUUUGGAAUUAGGUUUCUUGCAGAUAUUCAAUAGAAUCGAACACUGAUAGUCAAUCUUAUUAGAUUUAAGACAUAUUAAAACAGGUUCUCGUAAUAUUUUGUUUGUUGAGAUUGUUGAUGGUGUUUUGCAUAUUCUUGUUCAUAAAGACUUUUAAAGAUUUUAACCUUUUCAUUGUCAGGUUCUUGUGAUAAAUCUUUUCAGUUUUCAGGUUUCGGAGCUAUAUAUAACAGGUUCUACAACAUUUCGUCAUUCAAGCAAAGGUUAUAUUCUUUUGUAUUGAAUUAUAUUGUUUUCUUUUGAUUGUUGUGGUUGUUGAUAAAAAAAUAAACAUAUCUAAACAAUAUCAUAUUUGGUACUGCAGAAACUGUUAGUUAAAUGGAAGGUAAAGGACUCAUAUGCGGCCUCCCCGCUAAGAACGUUGUACCAAAAUUCAGACAACAAAUACAACAACAAGCAAAGAACGAUCAACAAACCGAUGCGGAUGAUGAACUGAAGGAGAUAACAAAGAUAGACUUUAGACGGGCUUGUGCUCACCGAGGGUACUUAAUACGCAUCGAAGAAGACAUUGAUACACGCAUGGAACUAGAGGAAGAAGACAUUGAGGCAAUAAGAAAGCUAUGUGCGAGGAACAACACUGAUAAGAAACGUCCAAGAGAGGAGAAAGGAGAGUCCUCAUACUGCAAGACUGGUUGAAUAAUAAUGGCAUGGUAACAACUCUUAGAGUUCAUGUUUUUGUAAUUAAUGUUUAGUUAGUUCAUGUUAUCUUUAAACUUUGUUAAGUUAACUUUAUGUAAUAUGAUAUUUUAUGAUUCAUGGUCUUUCAUAAAUAAAAGCUAAUUACAUUUUGUGCAAUUCAAUGUUUCAAAUAACAAAUUAUAUUGACGCAAAUAAGUUAAAUAUAGAUUCAAAUUGCAAUAUAAACAGAAAUUUCUCAGCCAAGAAAUCUUAUAUUAUAGCACUAAAAAAAAGCUUGAAAACAUUUUUAAACCACAAUUGAUAAAUGCUAUUGUAAAUGAUGUUAUGGCAAUGUAUAGUAGCCAUUAAAAACUACACAAUAGCAGAACAAAUGCGCUAUAUAACACUCUUCUAUAACAUAGCAUAAGCGCUAUAUAACACUAUCCUAUGGCACAAAAACAGAGCUAUAUAAAACUUUUCUAUAGCAAUGUUUUUGUGCUACUACAGUGUUAAAUUCGAGAACCAUAAUGUCACGAAACAAUAUCCACCAGCAUAUAUAAUGUGUUAUCAUUAAAUAUUUCACAGCUCAAAGAAAUUGCUAUAUAAACAAACAUAACAGCAAAAACAAAGCGCUAGUUAAAAAUAUUAAUUAGCGAGCUUCUAGCGCUAUAAUAGGUCAAUCUACGAUAGCGCGUAAAAACUGCUACGGUAGGGGGGGGGUCUACUGUAGCUCCUCAUUAUACAGCGUUUGUAGUUUCGCUACGAAAUCCCUUUGGCAGCAUAUUCCUUGUGUUACCGAAGCUCAUUUUUCUUGUAGUGAUCUCUCAUGUGAAGUUUCUUCGAUUUUCUUCUUAUAAUGUGGCUUCGUUAUCAAAUUUAAGUGUUUUUCCUUUCCAUGAAAAUUGUACGUUGAUAAGUAUGAGAAGAAAACAUAUUCCUAAUUAGUCUUCAUGAAUCUCUCAAAAAAAUAAAACAAAAUCUUCCUAAUGCUUCCAAAUCUUUUUUUUUUUUUUGAAUUACCCCAAAACUCAAUCCUAUCAUCAUCUUCUUCAAUAAAUAUUUGGCGAAAGAAGAUGAGCAACUGCUUUAUACAAAAAUCUUCUUCAAAUGCGUAUAAGAAAAAAGUAGCUUACAGUAUAUAGUUUUUUUUUUUUUUUUUAAUACCAGGAGGUUCUGUUUCAAAACCCGUAAUCUCCCAGACCCAAAACCACAUCAUGUAAUAUUAGUUUCGUCCCAAAUAUAUAGUUUUUUCAUAUACCACAACUAUCAUAAUGUUUCAACCUUACUUUCAUCUAAGUAUGAAUGUAGUCAUGUCAAGAUAUACUAUUGAUCAUAUGAUUAACUUUUAGUUUUUGAUCCCUCGAUCUGUUCUUUCAUAAAUCAAUUAUGUUUUUAUUUCUAAUACUUAAGGUAUCCCGACAAUGAGACAUUCAAUCUAUAUCGAUGAUAGUUUCUUCUCUUUCUGUAUCCAUUUUCAAUCCAAAUCCGAAGAAGAAAAAGGGUAACAGCUAACCGAUAUGGAUUCAAUGAAGAAGGAAAAGGAAACCGAUUAAUGAUUUGAUAGUAUAUUAAUCUGCAUCUUGAAACUGUAAAAUGAUACUUAUUCAAAAACAAAAGUUAAGUUAUACAACGAGACUUAAUUUAAAACGGAGAAAGUAUUAUACCACACGUAACACAAUUAUUAUUCUAUAGAUUUUUAAUCACACACGAGGUUAAUUAACAAAUUUUCCGAAAACGGCAACAAUACAGUUAUCAUUUUAUCUAAGUGUAUGGCAUAUUUGAUAUACAACAUACAAAUUUACGUCCAUUUUUAAAACUCAUAAGUACUAUUUAGAAUUUAUAAAUAAAUUAUUUAACACAAAUUCUAAUUAACAUGAUCUCAGCUAAAAAGUAUCGGAGCGAGGGUGCCCAUGGAGGAUGUUGGCACAAUAUCUACUUGCUUAUUUGACUGACUAUAAUAAAAAAAAUCUUGAACAAAAGUCCAAAUGAAAAAAACAAAUAAUAUAAAUCAACUCAUAUAUAACGUUUUGAGGUUCUGUUUCAUGGAAAAGCUCAUGGAUUUGAAACGAAGAAUCGAUCUCACAUGACGCAGGGAGAGUAUGUGAUCGAUGAUUUAGAGUUUAACCGUUGACGGCUCGGUUUCGGGCCUCAUGCUAAAGGUUUCUAGAGCUAGUUGUCAAUCGUAACAAGGUGUUUUCAAUCUGCUUUCGACCUUCUCCUUUUGCAACUCUUCUGGGAAGGACAACAUAAACGUCAUCGCUUCAUCUUGUUCCCACAGCUUCUUUGAUUUGUUGAGUAGAUGGAUCAAAAACUUGGUUUAAUUACCGUCUUAUGCUUUCAUGUUUUUAUUUUUUUUGCCAUGGAACCAUGUGUAUAGAUUCCAAAUCUUUGGAUUGUAACCUAAAAUUUUUUCACUAUCUAUGAAAUAUUUACAAUUUAGCAAAAAACAAAAAUGAUACUUAUUCAAAAACAAAAGUUAAGUUAUACAACGAGACUUAAUUUCAAACGGAGAUUAUUAUAUAUACCACACGUAACACAAUUAUUAUUACUAUAAUUUAACAAUCACACACGAGGUUAACAAAAUUUCCAAAACCGGCAACAAUACAGUUAUCAUUCUAUCUAAGUGUAUGGCAUAUUUGAUAUACAACAUACAAAUUUACGUACAUUUUUAAAACUCAUAAGUACUACAGUAAAACCUCUAAAAAUUAAUAAUGUUGGGACCAUGAAAUUUUAUUAAUUUAGAGAGGUAUUAAUUUAUCGAUAAAUUAAUAAUUAUUAAUUUAUAGAGAGAUUUUACUAAUUUUAUAAUAUUUUAAAAAAUUUCUAUCUAAAAAUAAAUUUUUUCUUUGUAAGCAAUAUUUUUUUAAAAUCAAUUGCAAGUAGAGAAGCAAUUUUUAAGUUUAAAAAACAACACAAACUUUUUUCGAAUAUUAGAGUCAUAUUUCAUUAAAAUUUUUACAUAUAAGAUUUUAAAUAUAUAUCAUAGUAAUUCAUAUAUAAAUUUAUAUCAUAUAUAUAUAUAUAUAUUGAUAAGUUUAUACAAUUAUUAAUUUAUAAUAUAGAUGAGACCAUAUGUUUACAUGUGAUUUUCAAAAAAAUUAUUAUCUUAUUAAUUUAUCGAUUUAUGUCAUAUUUUACACUGGUUCCAACUCGGGACCAGAAAAAUUUAUUAAUUUAUAGAGGUUUUACUGUAUUUAGAAUUUAUAAACAAAUUAUUUAACACAAAUUCGAAUUAACAUGAUCUCAGCUAAAAAGUUUCGGAGCGAGGGUGCCCAUGGAGGAUGUUGGCACAAUAUCUACUUGCUUAUUUGACUGACUAUAAUAAAAAAAUCUUGAACAAAAGUCCAAAUGAAAAAAACAAAUAAUAUAAAUCAACUCAUAUGUAACGUUUUAAUAUAUAGAAAUUGUUGCUUACCAAAAAAAAAUAUAUAGAAAUUGUUAAUUAGCCAGUCGUAUAUUUUUACAUUUUAUCUUUUAAAUUUAUUAUGCGUUUUUAAAUAUUUGUUCUUGGAAGUCUUUCACCUUCCUGGCGAUGAAUUCUUAAACAUUGUAAGAAGAUUCAAAACAAAAAAAUUAAUUCCAAAACGACUUAAGAAAACAAUCAUUUUAAUCGCCAACUUAAACAUAUAUUAAUGGGUAGCACAAUAAUAAGAUUGACGGCACAAUUUUAUUGAAAAGAAAACAACAACAAUAACAACAACAACAACAACAACAUCAACAACAUGUAAAUAAAAAGUUCAGAGACACUCAAAUAUGAGUAGAGGAUGAAGCUGGGUAAGGGAUCUUGCGAACGUACUUACGAGCCCAAACAUGUUUGCCAUCGAUGGUGAACUUGUUUCUAGACCUUGCACUCACAAUCUGGUCCAUCAUCGACGCACACUGAAGUUUCAACACCAUCUUCGCAAACAACGGCUGCUCAUUUGCUUCAACUUCCUGCAUCUCUACCGCUUCUAUCACUUCCCCAAACCUCCUCGUAAAGUAAACCCUAACUUCCGCUUCCGAAAUCGGGUACCCUUUUGAAAACGUCAGGAAAACCGUCCGAUCAUCUGCCGCCACCACCGCUUCCUUCUCUUUUGCCUCCAUUAUCUCUUUCUCUUUAUGGAACUUGUUUGUUUCGUCUUCAACCGGACGAGGAGGAGGAGGAGACGCAAUUUUUACUUGUUGAACACUCAACCUGUUAGGGUUUUCUUGUUGAAGACUCAACCUGAGCCUCUUCAUGUCCUCAAUAAAUUUCUCUCUCUCUAAAGCCAGAAGUUUCUCCCUGUUGAUCAUGUGAGCUCUCUCGCAUAAAUCUGUGAAAGCUCGAGUGCCAACAUCGGUCCAAUUCUUUGACACUCCAACACGAAAAAUUUCGCGGUCUUGAUUGAUUAAUCUGAGAGUUAACUUCCCUCCAGUCAUACUUAAGAGCAAAGGUAUAAUGGAAUUAUCAUCAUUGCUAGCAGCGAAGAACGUAGAUGCGAAAUCUAGGUUGUAUAACAAAUUUAUACACACACCGAUCUCGUUAGCCACCGCGUCAACGAAAGCGUCUGGCAACGAGACAAGAUAGGCGAUAACGUCACGGGCGUAACCAGAUUGCUCGAGCAACAAGAGAAAACACAUCGCUAGAAACGACUGGUCCACGUCUCGGUUUAGAUGGAAGACAAGACGACUGAACAAGGUUCUGUCGAUUGUGUGAAAAGCAUUGAACUCGUCUCGUGUCACCACAAUUGAAGAUGAAGGAUUGUUAGACGGAUACAAAGGAGAAGCCAUUACUGAUUUUUUGUUUGUUUUCGAUAUGUGUGGUGAUGUGUGAUGUUAUCUAUGUGAUUAGAGAGGGUUUAUAAAGAGAAUCCAUUGAAAUGGUGAAAAGGUGUAAAUCUCAUUUUUCCUUAAGAAUUUGUAUUCAUUCCUAAAGAGUUUGUUUGUUCUCGUUCAUGUAUCUAAUUAAUUACACAUACAAAAGUCGUAACCCUCCGAUUCAGAAAGAGGCUUGGCAUCGUUUUGUUGUGAGACAUUGUGACCCUUGGAUCAUCAUCAUUCAUCACCCAUGACCCUUCGAUCAUUCAUCAUCCAUCCCUAAAAUUUGUUUUUUCGUAUCAUUUUCCUUAAUUUUCUUUACAUGGAGGAGCCUAAAUCAUUAUUAUUAUUUUCGUUUACAGCUCUUAUUGAUUAAGAUAAGAUUUACGCGGUCAAACAUUUGAUUUAAAUUUCAUUAAUAACAAAUAUUAUUAUCUAUAGUAUAAUUUCGAUUUGAUAAAAUAUAUAUACAUCAUUUGAUUCAACCAAAAUUAAUUAUUUCAUAGAGGUUUUGUAGUCAAAUAAUAUAUUUCUUAUUUUUUUUCUAAUAGUUAAUUGUACUUCUUACUUAUUUAUAAAAUCUAAUAUUUAAUUUUUCGUACAUUUCCGUAUAUUUUGUAUCUUUUUAGGUUAUCUAAGUCGUUAUUCUAAUCUCAAAGAAGAAAUUUAGUAAUUAACUAUAGUUGUAAAAUGGUAUAUAAAAGAAAAGUAUUUUCGUACGGACUGGCGGAAAUACUAUUAAUGCGUUAAACCCGAUAUUUGGUAAAAUAACGUAUCAUUGAACGAAUUAGCAAAUACGAUCAUACAUAAAAUGUGUACGGUUCCGUAUUUUUCUUGAUAAAUAGAGUAAUAUCAAAUAAAAUAACAUUAUUUAUUUAAAUUAAUCGAAAAGUUUUAUCAAAUUUGUAGAUAAAUUCUUAGUAAACCAUAAGAUUUUUUACCUUACAUAAAGGUCAACAUUUUUUUUAUAAUAGAAAUAUCCUGUAUAAGGUUAAUUAUAGUUGGAUAUACAUAUUUCUUAAAAAAAAUCCCUAAACCAUCACCACCUACUAAUAUCUCAAAAAAAAAAAAGACACGUCAGCAACAGCAUAAGACCACACGCAGUGGUAUAUUUUUUACCUGGAUGUAAGCAUUAUUAAAAAGUGAAAUAAUAAUAAAGUUGGUUUUGAAGCAACACUCAGAUGUAAACUAAGACUCGGAUGUAAGCAUAUGUAAGCAUUAUUCUUUCCUUUCUCUCUCUUCUUUUUCCUUUCUCUCUAUUUCUUUUUCCUCCUUUUCCUUUCUCUUUCUUUCAUACAUUUAAAUUAUUAAAUUCAUAACACUCAAGGAUAGGCAUACACUGCUGUGUAUGCUCUAAGGCUUCAAGAGAAGAAAGAAAAAGCGUCUUCUCCAAAAACCCAGAAAAUCGCAGAGAGCUUCUCUUUGUCUUUGUACAGAUCUCGAUGCCUUCUCGUAGAAGAACUCUCCUCAAAGUCAUCAUCCUCGGCGAUAGCGGGUAAGUUUUCCGGUGACUGACUCUCUCUCUCUCUCUCUCCGUAUGUAUCUGCUUCUACAUGUUGAUUUAGUGUUUUUCGAUCAGUAAGUAUAUACUUUUUCUGGGUUCGAAUUUUGAUUGGAUUCGAUCUGGAUUGGUGUGAUCUCUUAGGUCUUCUGGAUUUUGAUUGUUCUGUAAUUACAUGGAAUUGAAUUGUGAAGUGAUGAUUAGAGAUUGGAUUAGUUGAAAUU
rnacentral:lncRNA from 1 species